AGUGGUUAAGCGUUUGGCUGCUAACCAAAAGGUUGGCAGUUCAAAUCUACCAGCCACUC
rnacentral:tRNA from 1 species